rnacentral:rRNA from 1 species
CCAAUAGCGUAUAUUAAAGUUGUUGCAGUUAAAAAGCUCGUAGUUGAAUUUCGGGAUCAGUACGCUGGUCGUGCCUUGGUAUGUACUGGUGUUACUGGUUCCUACCUUCUGACGAACCGUCAUGUCAUUAAUUUGGUGUGGCGGGAAAUCAGGACUGUUACUUUGAAAAAAUUAGAGUGUUUAAAGCAAGCUUACGCUUGAAUACAUUAGCAUGGAAUAAUGAAAUAGGACAUCAGAUUCUAUUUUGUUGGUUUCUAGGAUCGAUGUAAUGAUUAAUAGGGAUAGUUGGGGGCAUUAGUAUUCAAUUGUCAGAGGUGAAAUUCUUGGAUUUAUUGAAGACUAACUACUGCGAAAGCAUUUGCCAAGGAUGUUUUCAUUAAUCAAGAACGAAAGUUAGGGGAUCGAAGACGAUCAGAUACCGUCGUAGUCUUAACCAUAAACUAUGCCGACUAGGGAUCGGAUGAUGUUUAUUUUUUAGUGACUCAUUCGGCACCUUACG